GGCUCAGAUUGAACGCUGGCGGCAUGCCUUACACAUGCAAGUCGAACGGCAGCACGGGAGCAAUCCUGGUGGCGAGUGGCGAACGGGUGAGUAAUAUAUCGGAACGUGCCCAGUCGUGGGGGAUAACGUUUCGAAAGGAACGCUAAUACCGCAUACGUCCUACGGGAGAAAGCAGGGGACCUUCGGGCCUUGCGCUAUCAGAUGAGCCUAGGUCGGAUUAGCUAGUAGGUGAGGUAAUGGCUCACCUAGGCGACGAUCCGUAACUGGUCUGAGAGGAUGAUCAGUCACACUGGAACUGAGACACGGUCCAGACUCCUACGGGAGGCAGCAGUGGGGAAUAUUGGACAAUGGGCGAAAGCCUGAUCCAGCCAUGCCGCGUGUGUGAAGAAGGUCUUCGGAUUGUAAAGCACUUUAAGUUGGGAGGAAGGGCAGUAAGUUAAUACCUUGCUGUUUUGACGUUACCAACAGAAUAAGCACCGGCUAACUUCGUG
rnacentral:rRNA from 1 species